CAUACACUUACACACUUCUCUUAAGCAGCUUCCAGGCAGCUUCCAGGUGACGCUUGUCGCCUUCGCCACCGACCGCGCCGUUGCUUCUUCAACCCUUCGUUGUUCCUCUCCGACGACAAGGAGACGUUAGAAGCAGAUAUCUUCUCCGGGAGCAUCUCUUUGAGUCAAAGGCGGACGCUGGAGCAUCCAAGACCUACUCACAGAAGGUAGGAACCACCUGCAAGGAAACAACAAAGUAACUCUUGAGUUCAUGGGGGAGGAUAAUAUAAUCCACUUUGGUGGCUGCCACUGCAAGCGUGUUAGAUGGCAGGUUGAAGCACCAUCUAGUGUGGUAGCAUGGAGCUGCAAUUGCUCCAACUGUUCCAUGAGAGCAAACACCAACUUCGUAGUGCCAUCAUCCAAAUUCAAGCUCGCAGCCGAUUCCGAGCAAUUCCUGACAACUUAUUCCUUCGGCACUCAUACUGCCAAGCAUACCUUCUGCAAGCUAUGCGGCAUAACUUCCUUCUACUUCCCAAGAUCAAAUCCUGAUGGCGUUGCAGUAACCGUUAGCUGUGUCGAUCCUGGUACCAUCAAACAUAUCGAAACCAGGUACUAUGAUGGCAAAAACUGGGAGAGCUCCUACGAGCAAAGCUCCAUAUCAUCAUUUUCAAAAGCAGAUAACAGUUAGUUUAAGCUGUCUUUGCUUAAAUGGUAAUAAACAGAACAAUGUUCUUUGUGUGAUCCCAUUCCAGGCUAUGUGAUGAUGUUAAGCAGUAUCGUAUGUCAAUCAGCAGAGGUUUAAAGCAAUAAAGUAUUUUAAUCUUGGACAAAA